rfam:Oryza sativa (indica cultivar-group) chromosome 9, whole genome shotgun sequence.
UCGAAAAAAAAAACUGCGUUUCCGUGUUAAAUGUUUAACCGUCCGUCUUAUUUAAAAAAAUAUAAAAAAAUUAAAAAUACAAGUCACGCAUAAAGUAUUAAUCAUGUUUUAUCAUCUAACAACAAUGAAAAUACUGAUUAUAAAAAAAUUUCAUAUAAGACGGAUAGUCAAACGUUGGACACGGAAACCCAAGGUUUGUCUUUUU